AGUAUCAUUAAGUGAAUACAUAGCUUAAUGAGGGGAACUCAGGGAACUGAAACAUCUAAGUACCUGAAGGAAGAGAAAGAAAUUCGAUUCCGUAAGUAGCGGCGAGCGAACGCGGAUUAGCCCAAACCAAUAAAGUUUUCUUUAUUGGGGUUGCGGACAUAUCAUAACGAAGAGGUAUCGUAAUUGAAGAGGUUUGGAAAGACCCACCACAGAAGGUAAUAGUCCUGUAUGUUAAACGAGAAGACUUUAGAUAUGAUCCAGAGUACCACGGGACACGUGAAACCCUGUGGGAAGCAGGAGGGACCACCCUCCAAGGCUAAAUACUACCUAGUGACCGAUAGCGUAUAGUACCGUGAGGGAAAGGUGAAAAGAACCCCGGGAGGGGAGUGAAAUAGAACCUGAAACCCUGCACUUACAAGCUGUGGAAGCACAUUUCUUGUGUGACCGCGUACUUUUUGUAGAACGGGCCAACGAGUUACGUUAAGUAGCAAGGUUAAGCACUUAAGGUGCGGAGCCGUAGCGAAAGCGAGUUUUAACUGAGCGUUCAGUUACUGGACGUAGACCCGAAACCGGGCGACCUACCCAUGAGCAGGAUGAAGCGAAAGUAAAAUUUCGUGGAGGUCCGAACCCACGAGCGUUGAAAAGCUCGGGGAUGACUUGUGGGUAGCGGUGAAAUUCCAAUCGAGCCCGGAGAUAGCUGGUUCUCCCCGAAAUAGCUUUAGGGCUAGCCUCAAGGUGAGAGAUACGGAGGUAGAGCACUGAAUGUCCUAGGGGGUAUUGCACCUACCGAAGACUAUCAAACUCCGAAUGCCGUCAUCUUAUACUUGGGAGUCAGACUGUGGGUGAUAAGAUUCAUAGUCGAAAGGGCAACAGCCCAGAUCGUCAGCUAAGGUCCCUAAAUGUAAGUUAAGUGGUAAAGGAUGUGGGAUUGCACAGACAACCAGGAUGUUGGCUUAGAAGCAGCCACUCAUUCAAAGAGUGCGUAAUAGCUCACUGGUCGAGUGAUCCUGCGCCGAAGAUUUCCGGGGCUAAAACUUACUACCGAAGCUACGGCAUCAGUAAUGAUGGGUAGGGGAGCUUCCCAUACGGGUUGAAGCAUGACCGUAAGGACAUGUGGACAGUAUGGGAGUGAGAAUGUUGGCAUGAGUAGCGAGAUGUGGGUGAGAAUCCCACAGGCCGUAAACCCAAGGUUUCCAGGGGAAGGUUCGUCCGCCCUGGGUUAGUCGGGACCUAAGCUGAGGCCGAAAGGCGUAGGUGAUGGACAACAGGUUGAUAUUCCUGUACUACCGAU
rnacentral:rRNA from 1 species